GCCAAUGUAGCUCAGUUGGUAGAGCAAUGCUUUCGUAAAGCAGAGGUCGGGGGUUCGACUCCCCCCAUUGGCU
rnacentral:tRNA from 1 species